rnacentral:sRNA from 1 species
UGUUUGUGUCAGUGUAGGGCAUGCUCCCGU